rnacentral:tRNA from 1 species
GAAAUGUGAUUGAACAAAUUAAAGCUGCUAACUUUUUAUUUUAAUGGUUUAAUUCCAUUAACAUUUCUUGCAUU